GCAAUGGAGAACAUUUACAGAGGACUGUGGGUAAAGCAAAGUCUUCAAGGGAAGAUAACAAAGGAUGAAACAAUGGUGUUGUGUGACUUCCUAGUGUGAAUCAUGGCAAUACAGUGAAAGACAGUGAUUUACUGCUUUUGAGGGCGUGCAUGUAUAUGAUUAACGGAUGGAAGUGCAGGACUCCAAGAUUUACUUCCUUCCCUUUCCAGCAGAAUUACCUGAGACGAGUAAAAUCUACUGGUGGAGUCACUCCAUUAUUCUUAUCUGUGGAGAUCUAGAUCUUGAUUUGAAAGUUUCUGAGAAAAUCUUCAGCUCAGACUUGAGGGUCAACUUUACCAGCUGAAGGAUCUGCAUUUACUGCUCAACCACAUCUAAUUUGAUGUCCUCUGCAGAUUUAAAAUGUGUGCCUUCUUUUCCGUCACCAAGUCAUCCCUGGGUUACUACUGAACAUCCUUCUCAAUUCCCCCCGACCCAUGGAUGGCUGUUCUCCAUUGUCUGUUUCACCAGAUGUCCUCAAAACAAACAGACAGAAGAAGGAAGUGGCUAAUGGAGCUGUGGAGUCCAAGUGUGACUGCCAAGAGGAAUCCAGCAAAGCCAAAAAGCCCAAGCAUGUAGCCCUGCCCGAAGCACGCCACACGCAUGGAAAACCCAGAGGAAAUGAGUGAGGAUCAAUGGGAAGAAGAGAGCCAGCCAGGAAGUUGAAGAUUUGUCCAGGAGCAGAUAGCUGAAGAGAGAGAGAGAGAAGAGAGAACGGCUUACAGCUCAGGUCCUCUCUCCAUGCUUAGGAACCACUACAAAUGCUACUGCCUUGAGUCUCAUUUUGUUUCCCUCUGGAAACCACAUGUGUACCUUGUUUGCAACAGUAUGGGUAUGGAUGUUUUGGUAGUUCUUACACAUUUAUUUUAAAAUUUAAAGAAGUAGUGCCAUAAAGCUUUAUCAGGAUGUAUUUAAAAUGAAAA
rnacentral:lncRNA from 1 species